rnacentral:rRNA from 1 species
GACGAAGGGGGGCUAGCGUUGUUCGGAAUUACUGGGCGUAAAGCGCGUGUAGGCGGUUGCCCAAGUCGGGUGUGAAAGCCUUGAGCUCAACUCAAGAAAUGCACUCGGUACUGGGUGACUAGAGGACCGGAGAGGAUAGUGGAAUUCCCAGUGUAGUGGUGAAAUACGUAGAGAUUGGGAAGAACACCAGUGGCGAAGGCGGCUAUCUGGACGGUUUUCUGACGCUAAGACGCGAAAGCGUGGGGAGCAAACAGG